ensembl:snRNA U2 U2 spliceosomal RNA
GGCUGUGGCCUGUUGGCUGAGAGGAAAUGUAGGAUCAGUUUUUAGCAGUUAAAUAUCUGAGAUGUCCUCAAUGAGAAACUUUAAUAUUCUAUGGUUUUUUGCCUGUGGGAGUUGGAUCCAGAGCUUGCUCUGCACAGUCCAUGUAUGGUCCCUGGUAUUGCAGUGACUGUGGGAAAGAGGCACCCCAC